rnacentral:lncRNA from 1 species
UCUUAUUCAUAAUUUAGACUUAUUAAAGUAAGCAGACAUUAUAAUAGUAAGACAUUAUAUCUCUAACAGAUAAUUUAGGCAGACAUCAAAAUACAAAUAUAAAAGGUCAUGAAUUAAUUAAAAAAUACUAAUUCAAAUAGAAGGAUUGAAAUCCCGAUCGCUCACUUUUUCUAUGCACAGUUGGCUAUGGGUUGAUGAGAGGAAUGCCAAAGGAAGCCUACGAUCCUUAUUGUUGGCGACGGAUUGACGAGAGGGAUGUCGAGAGAAACCCAUGAGAGGUUGUUGGUAAUAGGCGAUGAGUUCCUAAGGGCAGGAGGGACGCUGAGUGCAUGCGUUAAUAGGCGACGGGUUGCCGAGGAUGCAUAUCGCACGAUAGAAGAUGAUGGAAGUAGGCUUGCAAUGACGUCGUUGUAGCUGCAAUUUGGCAUUCUACUACUUCUGUUGUUGCAUGUGUUCGGUGAAUUUGUUUCUGCUACAAUCUGGUGUUCUAAAUAUGCUUGCACUUGUUGUUGGCGUUUACACACCUAGCCUCAAGGUAUGGCGAGAAAUCCCAAUUCCCUAUAUUCCCCAAAUUCCUCUAGAUUCCCCGGUCCUUACAUGAAUUCCACGUGACCUAGUGCCGCACACGAGCGUCACACAAGGAAGGGCAUAGGCGUAGGUGUACAUGUGGGUGCAGGAGAUGUUCAACAUAGAUACAUUAUGUCCCAAAAAAAAAUAAAAAAAUAAAUAAGACAUUUGUCAAGUCAUGUUUGUGAUGUAUCCAUGCCUCUUAGGGGGAGGAGUGGGGUUAAAUAAGGAUUCGAAUGGGUCCAAUGGUCAAAUUGAUUGUUAUUGACCACUAUAUAUUGAUAACGGUCAAAUUUCGAUCGUUUUGCUCCGUACGAAGGGUUGUAUACGCCCCUCAUCCCCCCCUCCCG